CAGCCGCCGCGGUAAUACGAAGGGUGCAAGCGUUAAUCGGAAUUACUGGGCGUAAAGCGCGCGUAGGCGGUUUUGUAUGUCGAUUGUGAAAGCCCCGGGCUCAACCUGGGAACUGCAGUCGAAACUGCAAGACUUGAAUGUUGGAGAGGUUGGGGGAAUACCUAGUGGAGAAGUGAAAUUCGUAGAGAUUAGGUGGAACACCAGAGGCGAAGGCGCCUGACUGGCCAAACAUUGACGCUAAGGCGCGAAAGCGUGGGUAGCAAACAGGAUUAGAUACCCGCGUAGUCCCUGUCUCUUAUAC
rnacentral:rRNA from 1 species